rnacentral:rRNA from 1 species
UACGUAGGAUGCAAGCGUUGUUCGGAAUUACUGGGCGUAAAGAGUACGUAGGCGGUGACAUAAGUCUGAAAUUAAAGACAGAAGCUCAACUUCUGGAAUGUAUCGGAAACUGUGUUACUAGAGGAUAGUAGAGGAAGUCGGAAUUCUCAGUGUAGCGGUGAAAUGCGUAGAUAUUGGGAAGAACACCAGUGGCGAAAGCGGACUUCUGGGCUAUUACUGACGCUGAGGUACGAAAGUGUGGGGAGCAAACGGG